rnacentral:lncRNA from 1 species
GAGCAAAUCACAAGGCAAACUCAGAUUCAAAGGAAUGAGGAAAUAGCCUCUUGAUGGGAUGAGGUUCAAAGUUCCACUGCAAAACACAUGAAACAGAGAGGCAGGAAAAACAGGAAUAAUGCCUGCAAUCAAUCAAUCUGCCACAGUAAAAUAGCACAAGGUGCCAAGGGAGCAUAUAGAACAUGCAUAUAUUCCAGCCUAGAAAGUCAGCUCUUUCCCAGAGGCUGCAAUUUCUGGGCUUAAUCUUGAAUGAUGGUUGUCACUGAAAAGGCUCAAGGAGCUCUCUUGUUCCUUCCACCAUCUGAGAACACAGUGAGAAGUCCCCAGGCUUCAACCUGAAAAAGGGCCCUCAUCAGAACCUGAUCAUCAGAACUUGGCACCCCAAUCUUUGUCUUCUGAUCUACAUUGUGACCUAAGUCAGGUAACUUAUCAAGAUGGAUAUCAGGUGCCAGAAGAUGUGAAUAUGAUUUUUAUCUGUUUUGAGUUAUUAAUAAAGAGGUUUAAGACUUUGCUUAGAGAAUUACUGUUUCUUUUCAAAUUAUUGAUCAUUCCAACUCAUUUUGAUGCUGGAAUAUUCACAGUGUAUUUCUAAUGCAACAUUAAAGAGUUAAUCCUGAUAAUGAAAAUAGGGUUGAAUAAGUAUUUUGUUCUGUCCUUUCCACUUGUGUUCUUUUGCAGUCAGGAAUUUCAGUUCCUUAUUCUGAGUUUAUUACGAAGGAUAUUUUCUAGCUUAAAAAAGGUAAAGAAUUGAUUACUUCCUAAUCACAAGUAGACAAGUUGUUACUUCACUGUUACUCCAUUAACACUAGCUAUGACUUUUCUUACCUCUGAACUGGAUUUUAUAGCAACAUCCUAGCUGUCUGCUGGCCUUCUUCCCAAAGUUCACUCAAGACACAACAGCUGAACUGAUCAAUACUGUUACAGCUCACAGUCUGCCUCUACCCACAGCUGACACAUUAGACAAACUGAAUCACUUGACACACCUGCAGGAAAGCCCAUGUUCAUUAGGCAUGGGAAGCCCUUCUUAACUUUACUCUUUGGAAAUGUUUUCCCUCCUUCCAGGUAUUGCUCCAAAAAAGCAUAUAGUAAGAAAAGGAAACCUCAACUGCAACCAAGGGACUUGGAUCUUAAUUCCAGUUCCACUAUAACAAGCUAUGCACAUUUGGGCAGGUUUUCACUCUCUCUCACUCAAUUUUCUCAUCUGUAUAAUGAGAAGGCAUAAACCAGAUCAGAGGUUUUCAUAAUGUGGUCCUUCAGCUAGCAGCAUCAGCAUCACUUGGGUACUUGUUAGAAACGCAAAUUCUCAAGGUUUAUCCCACCUUUACUAAAUCAGAAAUUCUGGAGAUGGGACAAAGAAAUCUGUGUUUGAACAAGCCCUCUCUACGAUGUCUUUUUUCUUAGUUGCUUACAUGGAAUUUCAUACUUUUACUACAUACAUCACCUAUUUCAUGUUAGAAUUAUUUUUGACAUGUCCUCUCCAAUUUGUACUAGAUAUUCCCUUGAAGAUUAGAAUUCCAUCUUGAUUAUCUUUAUAUCCUGGACAGUGUGUAAACCCAGAUCCUACACAUAUUAGAUGGUUACAAAAUCUUUGGCAAAUUAGAUUCUUCAUUAAUGUUAAUGUUCAUUUAAUCCCCAAAAUAUUAGAAAAAAAUCAUUAAAAUUAACUUAAGUAAUCACAGCAUAUAAGUGAGAAAAUAUGGAGAAGAUACAGACUCAAACCUUGGGUAGGGAGUAGAAAAACAUAACCACUGGGUUGAGCUUAUGUUCACAUAGCAGGCUAACCCACGGAGGAAAGAGUGCUUCAAAAUUGGUUAAUUGCAAAUGAUUGUUAUCCUUGCAG